rnacentral:rRNA from 1 species
GAUGAACGCUGACAGAAUGCUUAACACAUGCAAGUCUUUGGCGAAGCUGUGCUUGCACAGCCUAGCCAAGGCGGACGGGUGAGUAACGCGUAAGGAACUUGCCCUGCAGUCAGGGAUAACAGACGGAAACGACUGAUAAGACCUGGUAAAGUCAGGCGGACUCAUGUCCAGCCUGAUGAAAAGAGAUGCUGCAGGAGAGCCUUGCGUCCUAUUAGCUUGUUGGUGGGGUAACGGCCCACCAAGGCGAUGAUAGGUAGCCGGCCUGAGAGGGUGGACGGCCACAAGGGGAAUGAGAUACGGCCCUUACUCCCACGGGAGGCAGGAGUGGGGAAUAUUGGAAAAAGGGGGCAACCCUGAUCCAGCAAUUCUGUGUGCACGAUGAAGGUUUUCGGAUUGUAAAGUGCUUUCAGCAGGGAAGAAAAAAAUGACGGUACCUGCAGAAGAAGCGACGGCUAAAUACGUG